CCACUCUGACGUCAUCGCAUCGAUCUGCGCACGCGCUUGGACUAUAAAAAGCGCGUUCGCGUGGUCUUUGUUCCCAGUUCCGUCUUCUUUAACCAGGUUUUGCAGUAUGUGGGCUGUUGGACCAUGGAGUUGUGCUGUAGCGCUUACUCAGAUUUUGAUCAUACUGGAGCCGAAUGGAUAACCUCACAUUCAUCAGACUUCGUCUCAUAAGUCAUUCACACUUUAAAUCAGGAAGAAUUCUGUAGUUCUGGAGGACUUCACACGAUGACUGACCUUUGAUGAAUGGCCACGUGUGAAGGCGUUUGAGGGAUUUGAUCUUCCUAAGGCUCAGCAGGGCCAAACUCACGUGGAGAAGUGGGUGAAGUACACGAUGGUCCCUCUAAGCACUCCAGUGUUUACCAGUUAUGAGGAGGAAAAACUUUAUGCAUUAAAGUUGACAUACUGUUCCAACGUGCUGUGUGUUUUUUUUUUUUUUUUUUUGACUAAUUCUAAGAAUUGCUUAUGUAAGUGAAUAGUCUUGCAGCUGGCACUUACCUCUUUUACAUUUACAAUAAAACUAUUAAACCAUGA